UAUGGAAUGAGUUGAAGCUCGAAACAUCCUGCAAAUAUACAUACACAAUGAAAUAAUCGGGAAAAAAAAAAAGUACCCCAGAUUCUUCUUUUUUUUUUCUGGUUGUUUUUUUUUUUUUUUUUUGUGUAAUUUUUUUAUAUACAGGAAGGAAGGUCUGAGAUGCUCCAUAAAAAGAAAUAUAUAUAUACAUAUAUAUGAAUGUAUAUUUUUCUUUAAAAACAUUUUUGAGAAAAAAAAUAUUGAAAAAAUAUUAAUUAGCUACCAGAAAUAUCAAUCUUAUAGCUCCCAUGAGGGUUAUAUGAUUUUGAAAAAGCUAAUAAGCAAGUAUACAUUGGUGAGUUCGAUUUUUGAGAUUUUUCACAAGCUUCGAAAUGUGUGCAUUUACAUAUGUAUACAUUUUUUUUGAAGUGCUGGAAAAAUAACUUAAUUCAGACUACUCAUAGACUCAUUCCAUCAU
rnacentral:RNase_P_RNA from 1 species